AAAAGUCGUAACAAGGUUUCCGUAGGUGAACCUGCGGAAGGAUCAU
rnacentral:rRNA from 1 species